GUAAGCUCAUGCCUCAGCUUUCAGGUGAUUUCUCUGAUACCCCUUGAUAUGUCUGGAACUAUCAAGGCUGUGGGUGGGGUUCUGAUCCCUCCAAAUACUCAUUUUGCUGAAGUCAGGGAGAACGCAUGCAGUGACUUUUUUGCCUAUUGGAGAAAAUCUUCUGAUAUCCAAUCAGAAAAGUCACUUUUUUAAAAGUGGGACUUAGGUACCUAUGUUUUAGGAGAUCUUCUUAACCCAGGGAUCAAACUCAGGUGUCCUGCAUUGGAAAAAAAAUUUCUUUACCACCUGAGCCACCAGAGAAGCCCUUCCUUCCUUUGGAGGUUCUUUGUUGUCCUCUCAACAUGCUUGUUGAUGUCAUUAUAUCCAUCAUCAUCAUCAUAUCAGCUUUUCCCUCCUGCAAAAGUGCACUGUUGCUGAGAGGAACUUGACUGUCAGCCAGAGACAGUGAAAGCUCUUUGUCCGUCUCCAAUCCUCAACAACAUUUGCAGGCAAAUGCAAGCUUCUUGCUGUGUCAUGGAUGUGAUUCAACUUUCACCUGGAACAAACAACUCAGGAGGUGAAGCAGUCAGCACGCCUGCUCGUUCUCACUCUGUAGCACCAACAACAAAGACUGCUGGUGCUGAAGGCUCUGUGAAUUAAAUGGACUUCAGUCUAUGGCGGGAAAAUCCUUCUCAAAUUCUGACUCCCAAGUGGGGCUUUUUUCCCUUCUCUCUUGAAGGUUCUGCUUUGUCUCUAAACUGUCAACUCAGAAUGGAGACAAACAGCUUUUCCGGCUUGGAUGGUUUGACUGUAUAAUAUAACCAUUAAAUGUCUUAAAACUGGUCUGAAUUUGAAGGUGUUAGAAAAUUCACAGGAGAUCAUUCUUUGUGUGAUUCUGAAAUUAUUUUCAAUUACAGAUUAGAGCACCGCAGUGUCUGUAAUAUCAUUUAAUGAGGCAUAAUUCUUCCUCUUGUCAUUUUUUCCCCUUGAUUGAGAUGGGCACCCUUAAGCCUCCUGACAGAUUCCAGAAUGCUGACAAUCUCCACUCUAGCAGAUGAGAAAGAGCACAACGAUGCUGCAAAUGACUGCCAGCAGAAGUGAUAGAUCUUUAAAAUAAACUGCAGAAGGCACCUAAAUUGGAUGUAAUUGCAAAGUAUUCAUCAAAUUUUGAAUUUGGACUCAGGAGUAACAAGAAGUACUAAAACACUGCAUAAGAGAACACUAAAAUAGAAGUCAGCAACUGUGUAUACAUAUAUGGAGGGGAAGAUGUCACAAAAAUAUCCAAUGGCUGCUUUUUCCAGGUCUAGAGAAUAUUAAUAUGUAGAC
ensembl:lncRNA